CAAGGAAUAGUUUAAUAUGAGAAUCCUAGCUUUGGGGGCUAGGGGUAGGAGUUAAAGUCUCCUUUUCUUGA
rnacentral:tRNA from 1 species